rnacentral:rRNA from 1 species
AUUGAACGCUGGCGGCAGGCCUAACACAUGCAAGUUGAGCGAGCGGCGGACGGGUGAGUAAUGGAUGGGGACUGCCCGAUAGAGGGCGAUAACUACUGGAAACGGUAGCAAAUACCGCAUACUAACGGAGAACAUAUAUGUGAUUAGCUGGUAUGUGAGGUAAUGGCUAAUAUAGGCGACGAGCCCUAGCUGGUCUGAGAGGAUGAUCAGCCUCACUGGGAAUGAGACACGGCCCAGACUCCUACGGAGGCAGCAGUGGGGAAUAUUGCACAAUGGGCGCAAGCCUGAUGCAGCCAUGCCGCGUGUAUGAAGAAGGCCCUAGGGUUGUAAAGUACUUUCAGUCGGGAGGCGUUACCGACAGAAGAAGCACCGGCUAACUCCGUGCCAGCAGCCGCGGUAAUAC